rnacentral:tRNA from 3 species
AUCCGUGUGGGUGAAUGGUUUAGCCAUCAGUCUGCAAAACUGAAAAGAGAAAUCUUUAAUGAGGGUUCGAAUCCCUCCACGGAUU